GAAAUAAGUCGUCUUAUCGCCUUUGCUUGCAGGGGAGGAAAGUCCGAACAACACAGAGCAUCAUGCUUCCUAACGGGAAGGUACUUAACUGGUGACGGUUUUGUAACAGACAGUGCCACAGAAAAUUACCGCCCUUUUGGCUUGCUGAGAGGGUAAGGGUGAAAAGGUAGAGUAAGAGCCUACCGCUCGGCUGGUGACAGCAGAGGCAUAGGUAAACCUCAUGCGUUGAAAGACCAAAUAGGCUGAUUGCUCAGUAAGAAAUUACUGUAAAAGGGCUGCUCGCCCGAAGUCAGCGGGUAGGUUGAUAGAGGCAGUAGGUGACUACUGUUCGAGAUAAAUGAUAAGACUAUCUUCGGGUAGACAGAAUUCGGCUUAUAGACUUAUUUUAUUU
rnacentral:RNase_P_RNA from 1 species